GAUGAACGCUGGCGGCGUGCCUAAUACAUGCAAGUCGAGCGAACAGAUGAGGAGCUUGCUCCUCUGACGUUAGCGGCGGACGGGUGAGUAACACGUGGAUAACCUACCUAUAAGACUGGGAUAACUUCGGGAAACCGGAGCUAAUACCGGAUAAUAUAUUGAACCGCAUGGUUCAAUAGUGAAAGACGGUUUUGCUGUCACUUAUAGAUGGAUCCGCGCCGCAUUAGCUAGUUGGUAAGGUAACGGCUUACCAAGGCAACGAUGCGUAGCCGACCUGAGAGGGUGAUCGGCCACACGGGAACUGAGACACGGUCCCGACUCCUACGGGAGGAAGCAGUAGGGAAUCUUACGCAAUGGGGGAAAGCCUGACAGAGCAACGCCGCGUGAGUGAUGAAGGUCUUCGGAUCGUAAAACUCUGUUAUUAGGGAAGAACAAAUGUGUAAGUACCUAUGCACGUCUUGACGGUACCUAGUCAGAAAGCCACGGCUAACUCCGUG
rnacentral:rRNA from 1 species